GUAAAACAAAAGAAAAAGAAAUGAAAAAAAAAAAGAUAGAAAAGAAACAGAAUGAAACGAAACUGAGAGCAAGGAAGGAAAGAAAAGAAAGAAAGGGAGAAAAGGGAAAAUUCAGAUUUCAAGGUUUGAAAGUUUAAUUGUUAAUGUGGUACCGAAAAUCUCGGCUAAGAAAGGACAAGACAAAGUCAACGGGAGUUAGCUCGAAAAUUACAGUUUGUAUUUCUAUAACCUGAACUUAAUAUUUAAUUAUUGAAUUUAUUAUUUAUUAUGUAUGGUAGGUGCAUUGAUUAAAUUAUUUGAAAUAAAAUGAAUAUUGAUUGAAAUUGAAGGGUGAAUUUAAUUAAUAAUUGUUGUAUUUUAA